AUUGAACGCUGGCGGCAUGCCUUACACAUGCAAGUCGAACGGUAACGGGCCUUCGGGUGCCGACGAGUGGCGAACGGGUGAGUAAUGUAUCGGAACGUACCUUUCAGUGGGGGAUAACGUGGCGAAAGUUACGCUAAUACCGCAUAUUCUGUGAGCAGGAAAGCAGGGGAUCGCAAGACCUUGCGCUGAUUGAGCGGCCGAUAUCAGAUUAGCUAGUUGGUGAGGUAAAGGCUCACCAAGGCGACGAUCUGUAGCGGGUCUGAGAGGAUGAUCCGCCACACUGGAACGGAGACACGGUCCAGACUCCUACGGUAGGCAGCAGAGGGGAAUUUUGGACAAUGGGGGCGACCCUGAUCCCGACAUGCCGCGUGAGUGAAGAAGGCCUUCGGGUUGUAAAGCUCUUUCGGCCGGGAAGAAAUCGUAUCAGCUAAUACCUGGUGCGGAUGACGGUACCGGCAUAAGAAGCACCGGCUAACUACGUGCCAGCCGCCGCCGUAAUAC
rnacentral:rRNA from 1 species